ensembl:lncRNA
GUGGCAUCCCACGUAAUCUCCAGGUCCAGAGGCGAAGACAGCGUGCGUCUCCCUCCCCAGCGGGCGUGGCUUCAUUCUCAGCCAGGCAGGGUCUGGAGUCAGUAUCCUUGUGAAAUGAGUGCUGACCUCGAAGAAGAGCUGGCCCACGGGCACCAGCCCCAGGAGAUCAGAGGACACGCAACACCUUGGAGUGGCCACUUGGCCCCCUGCCUCCCUGGAUCUGAGGUUCUUAACUUCUGUGGACUUGGUAGAGCCCUCCUGUAUCAGAAAGAAGGCUGUGCUGAAGUGGACCCCGUCUUUCAGAUGCUGUCCAGAUGACGUAGGGCUCAGGAGCUGAGAGUCCAGGCAGAAGAGGAGUGACCCACAGUACACUGGGUGGUGAUGGGCACUAUGUCACAGCAAGAGCAUAGGGGCAGUUUGCCAAAGGUGCCAUGAAGACUCUGAGAGGAUGCAAGGAAAUGCCCCUGCCUGCGACCCCAAACAUCUUCAGGAUGGAACCACAGCCAUCAGCCCAGCAGGAGAGUGACGUCCCAGCCCACCAGUCUGCAACUCCAAGCAGGAGGAGCCCCUGCACCACGUCUCUCAAAUAUCCCAGCAGAGAGCAUUCUCUCCAGCAUAGGAGUCUCUUGAGCCACCUCCCUCCCUCUGGGUGGCUCUGCAGCUGUUGGGGCACCAACUGUCUAUACAUCCAGCCCAUGGUGAGGUAUGUAUGGAUACUAGGCACCAAGGAUCCUCAGGCCCUUCCUGCAAAAGUCACACCAAGCCUCAGUACUAGUCCCACCAUCCAACCUUCCACUGGACCCUCCUAAU